UCCCCUAGUAACUGCGAGUGAAGCGGGAAAAGCUCAAAUUUAAAAUCUGGUAGUCUUAUGGCUGCCCGAGUUGUAAUCUAGAGAAGUGUUACCCGCGUUGGACCGUGUACAAGUCUCCUGGAAAGGAGCAUCAUAGAGGGUGAGAAUCCCGUCUUUGACACGGACUGCCAGGGCUUUGUGGUACACUCUCAAAGAGUCGAGUUGUUUGGGAAUGCAGCUCAAAAUGGGUGGUAAAUUCCAUCUAAAGCUAAAUAUUGGCGAGAGACCGAUAGCGAACAAGUACCGUGAGGGAAAGAUGAAAAGAACUUUGGAAAGAGAGUUAAACAGUACGUGAAAUUGCUGAAAGGGAAACGCUUGAAGUUAGUCGCGUUGGCUGGAAAUCAACCCUUUGGGUGUACUUUCUAGUCGACGGGUCAGCAUCAAUUUUGAUUGUUGGAUAAAGGCUUAGGGAAUGUGGCAUCUUCGGAUGUGUUAUAGCCCUAGGUUGCAUACAACAGUUGGGAUUGAGGAACUCAGCACGCCGAAAGGCCGGGUAUUUUACCACGUUCGUGCUUAGGAUGCUGGCAUAAUAGCUUUAAUCGACCCGUCUUGAAACACGGACCAAGGAGUCUAACAUGCCUGCGAGUAUUUGGGUGGAAAACCCGGAUGCGUAAUGAAAGUGAAAGUUGAGAACCCUGUCGUGGGGUGCAUCGACGCCCGGACUUGAUGUUUACUGACGGUUCCGCGGUAGAGCAUGUAUGUUGGGACCCGAAAGAUGGUGAACUAUGCCUGAAUAGGGUGAAGCCAGAGGAAACUCUGGUGGAGGCUCGUAGCGAU
rnacentral:rRNA from 1 species